rnacentral:rRNA from 1 species
GCUAAUACAAUGGCAAGUCGAACGCUUUGUGGUUCAACUGAUUUGAAGAGCUUGCUCAGAUAUGACGAUGGACAUUGCAAAGAGUGGCGAACGGGUGAGUAACACGUGGGAAACCUACCUCUUAGCAGGGGAUAACAUUUGGAAACAGAUGCUAAUACCGUAUAACAAUAGCAACCGCAUGGUUGCUACUUAAAAGAUGGUUCUGCUAUCACUAAGAGAUGGUCCCGCGGUGCAUUAGUUAGUUGGUGAGGUAAUGGCUCACCAAGACGAUGAUGCAUAGCCGAGUUGAGAGACUGAUCGGCCACAAUGGGACUGAGACACGGCCCAUACUCCUACGGGAGGCAGCAGUAGGGAAUCUUCCACAAUGGGCGAAAGCCUGAUGGAGCAACGCCGCGUGUGUGAUGAAGGGUUUCGGCUCGUAAAACACUGUUGUAAGAGAAGAAUGACAUUGAGAGUAACUGUUCAAUGUGUGACGGUAUCUUACCAGAAAGGAACGGCUAAAUACGUGCCAGCAGCCGCGGUAAUACGUAUGUUCCAAGCGUUAUCCGGAUUUAUUGGGCGUAAAGCGAGCGCAGACGGUUAUUUAAGUCUGAAGUGAAAGCCCUCAGCUCAACUGAGGAAUUGCUUUGGAAACUGGAUGACUUGAGUGCAGUAGAGGAAAGUGGAACUCCAUGUGUAGCGGUGAAAUGCGUAGAUAUAUGGAAGAACACCAGUGGCGAAGGCGGCUUUCUGGACUGUAACUGACGUUGAGGCUCGAAAGUGUGGGUAGCAAACAGGAUUAGAUACCCUGGUAGUCCACACCGUAAACGAUGAGUGCUAGGUGUUUGAGGGUUUCCGCCCUUAAGUGCCGCAGCUAACGCAUUAAGCACUCCGCCUGGGGAGUACGACCGCAAGGUUGAAACUCAAAGGAAUUGACGGGGACCCGCACAAGCGGUGGAGCAUGUGGUUUAAUUCGAAGCAACGCGAAGAACCUUACCAGGUCUUGACAUCCCUUGACAACUCCAGAGAUGGAGCGUUCCCUUCGGGGACAAGGUGACAGGUGGUGCAUGGGUGUCGUCAGCUCCUGUCCUGAGAUGUUGGGUUAAAUCCCGCACCAGCGCAACCCUUAUUACUAAUUGCCAGCAUUUAUUUGGGGACCCUAUUGAGAAUGCCGCGGACAAACCGAAGAAAGGGGGGGGUGGAGGCCAAAAAUCCUGCGCCCUUUUAACGGGGGGAAAACCGGGUUAAAAGGGGGUAAUAACAAAUUGCCACCCGCCGGGGGGGGGAAACCUUAAAAAAAAUUUUCCUUUUCCGAUUGUAGGG